AUUGAACGCUAGCGGCAUGCCUAACACAUGCAAGUCGACCGAGCGGCGGACGGGUGAGUAAUGUAUCGGAAUCUGCCCGGUGGAGGGGGAUAACUACUCGAAACGGUGGCUAAUACCGCAUACAAUCAGAUCAGCCCAUAUGGGAUUAGCUAGUAGGUGGGGUAACGGCUCACCUAGGCGACGAUCCCUAGCUGGUCUGAGAGGAUGACCAGCCACACUGGGACUGAGACACGGCCCAGACGCCUACGGGAGGCAGCAGUGGGGAAUAUUGCACAAUGGGCGCAAGCCUGAUGCAGCCAUGCCGCGUGUAUGAAGAAGGCCUUCGGGUUGUAAAGUACUUUCAGUCGGGAAGCGGUACCGACAGAAGAAGCACCGGCUAACUCCGUGCCAGCAGCCGCGGUAAUUC
rnacentral:rRNA from 1 species